CCUACGGGUGGCUGCAGUAGGGAAUAUUGCUCAAUGGGGGAAACCCUGAAGCAGCAACGCCGCGUGGGGGAUGAAGGUUUUCGGAUUGUAAACUCCUUUUGUUAGAGAAGAUAAUGACGGUAUCUAACGAAUAAGCACCGGCUAACUACGUGCCAGCAGCCGCGGUAAUACGGAGGGUGCAAGCGUUACUCGGAAUCACUGGGCGGAAAGAGCGCGGAGGCGGGAUAGCAAGUCAGAUGUGAAAUCCUAUGGGUUAACCCUAGAACUGCAUUUGAAACUGGUAUUCUAGAGUAUGGGAGAGGUAGGUGGAAUUCGUGGUGUAGGGGUAAAAUGCGUAGAGAUCAAGAGGAAUACUCAUUGCGAAGGCGACCUGCUAGAACAUAACUGACGCUGAUGCGCGAAAGCGUGGGGAGCAAACAGGAUUAGAUACCCCAGUAGUC
rnacentral:rRNA from 1 species